CCAACACCUCCUAAGACCCAUGAAUUGGACAAAAGCCUUGAAUGAUAUUUUAAGGUGGUGUACCACAGAGAUCGGUGCUUCUAUCUCUGCUCCUUGUGAUGUACAUGGACGUGAGUGGACAAGGUUCACUGACGUACUGUUUGAGAAAGCUAUCACGGAUGCAUUCUAUCAAAUCCUCCUCAAGACUACCUCGACACAGAGAGAGUGAGAGUGAAAGGGACAGGAGAGAAAGGAUGGAGAGAGUGUGGGCAGAAAGGAGGAUCUGAGCAUCACCGUCAGAGUCAACAUCUUUGGCCUGCUGAAUUUCGCCCUUUGGAACGGGUGACCCUGCUCCGUGAACCACUGCAGUCCUUCCGGUGAUGGGAAUGGAG